rnacentral:rRNA from 1 species
CGUAGGGUGCAAGCGUUAAUCGGAAUUACUGGGCGUAAAGCGUGCGCAGGCGGUUUGGUAAGACAGAUGUGAAAUCCCCGGGCUUAACCUGGGAAUUGCAUUUGUGACUGCCCGGCUAGAGUUUGGCAGAGGGGGGUAGAAUUCCACGUGUAGCAGUGAAAUGCGUAGAUAUGUGGAGGAAUACCGAUGGCGAAGGCAGCCCCCCUGGGUCAAGACUGACGCUCAUGCACGAAAGCGUGGGGAGCAAACAGGAUUAGAUACCCUGGUAGUCCACGCCCUAAACGAUGUCUACUAGUUGUCGGGUCUUAAUUGACUUGGUAACGCAGCUAACGCGUGAAGUAGACCGCCUGGGGAGUACGGUCGCAAGAUUA